rnacentral:rRNA from 1 species
UGGGGAAUAUUGGACAAUGGGGGCAACCCUGAUCCAGCAAUGCCGCGUGUGUGAAGAAGGCCUGCGGGUUGUAAAGCACUUUCAGUAGGGAAGAAAACUUGAGGGCCAAUACCCCUCAAGCUUGACAUUACCUACAGAAGAAGCACCGGCUAACUCCGUGCCAGCAGCCGCGGUAAUACGGAGGGUGCGAGCGUUAAUCGGAAUUACUGGGCGUAAAGCGUGCGUAGGUGGUUUGGUAAGUCGGAUGUGAAAGCCCUGGGCUUAACCUGGGAAUUGCAUUCGAUACUGCCUGACUAGAGUGUGGUAGAGGGAAGUGGAAUUCCAGGUGUAGCGGUGAAAUGCGUAGAUAUCUGGAGGAACAUCAGUGGCGAAGGCGACUUCCUGGACCAACACUGACACUGAGGUACGAAAGCGUGGGGAGCAAACAGGAUUAGAUACCCCCGUAGUCC